GAAAUGCGAUAAGUAAUGUGAAUUGCAGAAUUCAGUGAAUCAUCGAAUCUUUGAACCCACAUUGCGCCCGCCAGUAUUCUGGCGGGCAUGCCUGUCCGAGCGUCAUUUCAACCAUCAAGCCCCCGGGCUUGUGUUGGGGACCUGCGGCUGCCCGCAGGCCCUGAAAACCAGUGGCGGGCUCGCUGUCACACCGAGCGUAGUAGCAAUCACCUCGCUCAGGGCGUGCUGCGGGUUCCGGCCGUUAAACAGCCUUACAAAACCCAAGGUUGACCUCGGAUCAGGUAGGAAGACCCGCUGAACUUAAGC
rnacentral:misc_RNA from 1 species